GCAGGUGCGUGUUUACACAAUUACGUCAUUGAUAUCUGUGUAAAACACAUGAGUACACCACAGCGAACAAAAUUGCUGGUUUGUAAAACCUUGGAAGAGGCUUUAAGGAAAAUCCAGGAGCUGGAAAUGCAAGAUAAUUUGUGCCUGACUCUAGUACGAAGAAUUUUGGGAAGACGAUUUGGCCUAAAAAGACCUGUAGCAGUUAACAAGCUAUUAGAUGCACAAAUGCACAAAAUGACCACCACCACUAUCACCCUAAAGUGUGUGCUUGGUGUCUGUCUACACGUGCUUGCUUCUGGAAUGUUGAAGAACAAACUGUGUUGAAACGCCAACUGGAGUUGGUCAUGGACCUUUGCCACCCUUCAUCCAGAGCCUUCCACAGAGAUGGCAGAUAUAUCGCUGCCUGGACCAACAGUUGACCAUGCCGUUGAGUCCAUGAAAACAUCUACAGAAUUACAUCUGCGGCCGUGGCUAUUAAUGGAUACAUUCUGCACCACUUCCAUGUGCUGUCAGUUUGAAACGUCUCUACUCUGACAGAAGGAAGGGAAUGAAUACCCAGGAUUGUUCCUCAGGAAAAUCUCUUCAACAGGCUGUUGUCAGUUUGCAUGCUCUUUGGAUGGAAUUACCCUACCUUGGCUUGCAGAGAAUCUGUGAUAUAAAAGACCUCUUUUGUGCUGCAUUGUGUCAUUGAUUUAUUGUAUUUUAUAUGUAUUAUGCCACUAUUGUAAAAACAAAUGGGCAUAUGUUUUAGCAUAUGUUUUCAAGCAGACACAUUUAUAUUUCAAACAGACACAUUUAUAUUUUUGAAUAAUUUGAAAAUACAUUUUGUAGGUUGACUUCACACCAUGAAACAUUAAUGGUAGGUUAUAUUUGACCAGAACAUGACAAGUAUUGUUUUCGGAGUUUUUUGGUCGAAGGUGAAGGUAAUGGCUAACAGUGGUUA